UGGGGAAUAUUGGACAAUGGGCGCAAGCCUGAUCCAGCCAUGCCGCGUGAGUGACGAAGGUCUUCGGAUUGUAAAACUCUUUUGGCGGGGACGAUAAUGACGGUACCCGCAGAAUAAGCCCCGGCUAACUUCGUGCCAGCAGCCGCGGUAAUACGAAGGGGGCUAGCGUUGUUCGGAAUCACUGGGCGUAAAGCGCACGUAGGCGGAUGUGCCAGUCAGGGGUGAAAUCCCGGAGCUCAACUCCGGAACUGCCUCUGAUACUGCACGUCUUGAGUUCGGAAGAGGUGAGUGGAAUUCCUAGUGUAGAGGUGAAAUUCGUAGAUAUUAGGAAGAACACCAGUGGCGAAGGCGGCUCACUGGUCCGGUACUGACGCUGAGGUGCGAAAGCGUGGGGAGCAAACAGGAUUAGAUACCCCCGUAGUCCCUGAGCGGGCUGGCAAGGCGCAU
rnacentral:rRNA from 1 species